rnacentral:rRNA from 1 species
CACGAAGUUAGCCGGGGCUUAUUCCUCCGGUACCGUCAUUAUCGUCCCGGAUAAAAGAGCUUUACAACCCUAAGGCCUUCAUCACUCGCGCGGCAUGGCUGGAUCAGGCUUGCGCCCAUUGUCCAAUAUUCCCCACUGCUGCCUCCCGUAGGAGUCUGGGCCGUGUCUCAGUCCCAGUGUGGCUGAUCAUCCUCUCAGACCAGCUACUGAUCGUCGCCUUGGUGAGCCGUUACCUCACCAACUAGCUAAUCAGACGCGGGCCGAUCCUCCGGCAGCAAGCCUUUCCCCAAAAGGGCGUAUCCGGUAUUAGCUCAAGUUUCCCUGAGUUAUUCCGAACCAGAGGGCACGUUCCCACGCGUUACUCACCCGUCCGCCGCUGACACCGAAGUGCCCGCUCGACUUGCAUGUGUUAAGCCUGCCGCCAGCGUUCGCUCUGAGCCAGGAUCAAACUCU